UACGAAGGGGGCUAGCGUUGUUCGGAUUUACUGGGCGUAAAGCGCACGUAGGCGGAUCGUUAAGUCGGGGGUGAAAUCCUGGAGCUCAACUCCAGAACUGCCUUCGAUACUGGCGAUCUAGAGUCCGGAAGAGGUGAGUGGAACUCCUAGUGUAGAGGUGGAAUUCGUAGAUAUUAGGAAGAACACCAGUGGCGAAGGCGGCUCACUGGUCCGGUACUGACGCUGAGGUGCGAAAGCGUGGGGAGCGAACUGG
rnacentral:rRNA from 1 species